GGAUCAAUGAGUUGGUCGUGCCCUUGGUAUGAACUGGCUUUAUUGGUUCUCACCUUCUAAUGAACCAUAAUGUCAUUCAUUUGAUGUUUUGGGGAAUUAGGACUGUUACCUUGAAAAAAUUAGAGUGUUUAAAGCAGGCUCACGCUUGAAUACAUUAGCAUGGAAUAAUGAAAUAGGACAUCGCAUUCUAUUUUGUUGGUUUCUAGGAUCGAUGUAAUGAUUAAUAGGGAUAGUUGG
rnacentral:rRNA from 1 species